CAGUAGUCACUGAAUGGGGACUUUUCUACAGCAAAAUAGCUGGCUAGUGUCCGUUCGUUUGUUUUUGCGGAUUAUAUUUUGCAGGUUAGUGGCUACACUCAAAGUUAAGAAACUGAUCCUGCCGUUUCUCUGUUCACCUUCUUGGAAAGGAAAAGGAAAGUUAGUCACACAGUUGUGUCUGACUGUUUGCAAUCCCAUGGACUGUAGCCUGGCAGGUCCUCUGUCCACGGAAUUCUCCAGCUUCAAGGAUUCGGAUAUUCUGGGGAAACCAAGUGUGAUCUGAAGGUUGAAGCUCAACUGUUCAUUAUUUCUCCAAGUUCUGGGAUAAUGUUAUUAGUUUUUAAGCAUGAGGUGCUUCCCAGGAGAGCUGCUGAGUCCCAACCCGACCAAACCCUUUCACGUCGUGGCCUGUACGAUGCACCAUCAUUGUGGAAUGUCUCUGAGAUGACUUCUGCAGAUAUAAAGACGAAUAUUAUCAAGUGCCAACGAGCAGUUCAGAUUAGCAAGACUGAAGAAGGAGCUACACAAAGAACAGGAAAAGGCUUCGAGGGGCUGCCCUGCGUUGACUGAGGAGGCUCUGAGGGUAAGAAUGUCACGUGUGAAGCUCCCUGGCAGUUUCUUUUUGAAAAAGUUCGGAGUUCCAUUGGAAUUAGGAGAAGACGAUGGUAGCAGUAGCAAAGAGACUCCUACCAGGGGAAUUAGAGCAGUGAAAUGUAACAGGGAUGGAUUUUAGAUCCAGAUAGACAUGGGUUGAAAUCCCA
ensembl:lncRNA